rnacentral:rRNA from 1 species
ACGAACGCUGGCGGCGUGCUUAACACAUGCAAGUCGAACGAGACCCUCGCUUCGGUGGGGUGUUCUAGUGGCGAACGGGUGAGUAACACGUGGGCAACCUGCCCCUGGCUCUGGGAUAACUCCAAGAAAUUGGGGCUAAUACCGGAUAUGACCGCUGACCGCAUGGUCUGGUGGUGGAAAGAUUUAUCGGCUGGGGAUGGGCCCGCGGCCUAUCAGCUUGUUGGUGGGGUAGUGGCCUACCAAGGCGACGACGGGUAGCCGGCCUGAGAGGGUGACCGGCCACACUGGGACUGAGACACGGCCCAGACUCCUACGGGAGGCAGCAGUGGGGAAUAUUGCGCAAUGGGCGAAAGCCUGACGCAGCGACGCCGCGUGGGGGAUGACGGCCUUCGGGUUGUAAACCUCUUUCAGCAGGGACGAAGCGGAAGUGACGGUACCUGCAGAAGAAGCACCGGCCAACUACGU